rnacentral:rRNA from 1 species
AGUGAACGCUGGCGGUGUGCCUAACACAUGCAAGUCGAGCGGCCACACAGUAAGCGCUUGCUCUUACGGGUGGCGAGUGGCGGGCGGGUGAGGAGUACAUCGCAAUCUACUUUUUCGUGGGUGAUAACGUGGGGAAACUUACGAUAAUACCGCAUACGUUCUACGGGUGGAAGCAAUGGUUCUUCGGACCUUUCGCGACUGUAUUAGCUGAUGUCGGAUUAGCUAGUUGGCGGGGUAAGGGCCCACCAAGGCGACGAUCCGUAGCUGGUCUGAGAGGAUGAUCAGCCACACUGGAACUGAGACACGGUCCAGACUCCUACGGGAGGCAGCAGUGGGGAAUAUUCGACAAUGGGCGAAAGCCUGAUCCAGCCAUGCCGCGUGAGUGAAGAAGGUCUUCGGGUUGUAAAGCUCUGUUGUUGGGGAAGAAAAGCAGUAGAAUAAAACAUGGCUGUUUUGACGGUACCUAAAGAAUAAGCCCCGGCUAACUUCGUG